AUGGUCAGCGAGAGACCAGUGACGAUGUCGCCGGAGAUGGGCGUUCGUUUAUAAUCGGAAGCAUGGGGGACGAGUUAGGCAGCGGGUAUUCGGAGGAGGAGCUGGGGAUGCUGCUUCGAGAGCAGAGGAGGCAAGAGGCGAGCGAUCGAGAGAGGGAACUGAAUUUUUAUCGGAGCGGCUCGGCGCCGCCCACCGUCGAGGGGUCCCUCGCUGCCGUUGGACGACUCUUUGGCCGGGUGGCUGGCGGUGGCGUCUCGGAUUUACUGGAUUCGGAGAAUGGGGGUGGCAUCUUUUCGGAGAAGGAGCUCCGGUCCACUCAGGCUUAUCUCAAUUACUACUACUCCCAUGUAAAUCUGAAUCCCCGGCUCCCACCUCCGGUGCUCUCCAAAGAGGACUGGAGAUCAACUCAGAGGCUUCAGGUGGGAAGAACGGUCCUCCAGGGGAUCGGGGAUACAAGAAAAGUGAACCAUUGGGAGGAAGGGGGCGGUAUAUCAAUUUUUUCAAAGCAGCCAUUGUUUCGCUCGCAGGAGCAUGUGGUGGAGCCGAGGGAGGCCGCCCUUUCAGGGAAGAGGCUGGACAAAGGUGGAGAAGGGUUGAUUGGGCUUUCACUCAGCAGGCAGAUGAGCUUUGCCAACGUCCUUCAGGAUGACGUUGACCACAAAACUCCCAUCUCAAACCUUCUACCACGCCCACAAAGUUGUAAUGCGUACGUAAAUGACCUUGAAGCAUUGGGUUCUGCUGAUUCCCAGCUUUGUUUAAACAAAAAAAUUGCAGCUUUUGGUGCGCAACAACCUGGUGAUUAUGUCCAAAGUGGCAAUGGUCUUCAAAAUGCUAGUAUAUCAUUUCCAUAUAAUCUUGCAUCUGCUGGAGGUUUGUUCCUUGGGAAAGGUUUUUGUUUGUCAAAUGAUGGUGCUGCAUCUGUAGAAAAUAUAUCUCAAUCAAGGCUUCGAAAGGAGUUGGAUGAUCACCAGAAGUUUCUUUUUGAUUCUCUAUCCAACCAAGGAAAUUUUAAUGCAUGUCCUAUCAUGGAAAAUUCUGAUGCACAUUCCUUAAAAACGUGCUCUCUUCCUCAUUCAUUGAAGUCUUCAUAUACUGAUUCUGCUUCUGCAGGUCAGGUGGAUGUAAGAAAUUUGAGCUCGAGAUUAAGUGAUCCAAUUGAACCUCAUAGAUCCACUAUCUCAUCUGCCAAUUCAUAUGUGAAGUCAUAUUCACCUCCAGAUUCUGGUCCUGGUGGUUCACCUGGCCAUUUUCAGAACAUCAAAAGUGUAGAUGCAUGUUCUGGGGGUAUCAGGCCAGGUGAUUAUUCUGUUAAUCCUGUGUUUCCUCCUUCUAUGCUCCAGAAUCAUGUCACGGCAGAAACAAUGCCUACUUUAUUUGAAAGUGCUGCUGCUGCAUCAGCAAUUGGAUCUCUUACUAUUGACUGUGGCACUUCUGAUGGUGGUAUUUUUGCACCACCAAAUUUAGCUGGACUUACAGACCUGCAAAAUCUAAGUCAAAUCUGUAAUCAGUCAGCAGUAGCAGCACUCCAAACUCCCAUUAAUGACCCUCUUUAUGUUCAAUACUUGAAGGCUGCUGAAUAUACAACUCAAAUUGCUGCUAGCUGUAGUGAACCAUCUGUGGAGAUGGGUUACAUGGGCAACUCUUAUGCAUAUAUACGUGGGAUCCAGAAAGCUCACUUUGGGUUGUUGCUUCAACAACAGAAACAAUAUGGUAACCCACAUCUUGGCAAAUCAGGCUCUCUGAGUCAUAGCUAUUAUGGUAACAGUACUCUGGGCCUGGGUUCAUCAUAUCCAGGAAGCCCUUUAACAGGACAAAUUGCUUCUCCAGUUGGACCUGGUAGCCCUCUUAGGCUUGGCGAGCUCCCCAUGCAAUUUCCUUGUGGCUUGAGACACCUAAGUGGAGGUAUCAUGGGAUCAUGGCAUUCUGAUCGAACUCAUAAAAUUGAUCAACAUUAUUCAUCCUCGCUUAGGGAGGAGUUCAAGAACAAUAAAAACAGAUGCUUCGAACUUGCUGACAUUGCUGGUCAUGUGGUUGAGUUUAGUGCUGACCAGUAUGGAAGCCGUUUUAUACAACAGAAACUUGAAACAGCCACAAGUGAAGAAAGGAACAUGGUUUUUAAAGAAAUUAUGCCUCAUUCACUGUCUUUGACGACUGAUGUUUUUGGCAAUUAUGUGGUACGAAAGCUUUUUGAGUAUGGAUCAAUGGCUCAGCGAAGGGAAUUGGCUAGCCAACUUAAUGGACAUGUUUUGGCUCUCAGCCUUCAAAUGUAUGGUUGUCGGGUAAUUCAGAAGGCCAUAGGAGGUGUUGACUUGGACCAGAAGAAAAAAAUAGUUUUGGAGCUUGAUGGACAUAUCUUGCGUUGUGUACGAGACCAGAAUGGGAACCAUGUUAUUCAGAAAUGUAUCGAGUGUAUUCCUCAGGAUGAAAUUCAGUUUGUCAUAUCAGCCUUCUAUGAUCAAGUUGUGACAUUAUCUACUCAUCCAUAUGGAUGUCGUGUCAUACAGAGAGUAUUAGAGUACUGUGAUGACCCCCAGAUCCAGCAGAGCAUGAUGGGAGAGAUUUUGCAGUCUGUUUGCUUGUUGGCCCAAGACCAGUAUGGAAACUAUGUUGUCCAGCAUGUAUUGGAGCAUGGGAAACCUCAUGAGCGGUCUGCAAUUGUUAAAGAAUUUUCUGGACAGAUAGUUCAGAUGAGUCUACAGAAGUUUGCUUCAAAUGUUGUUGAAAAGUGUCUGACUUUUGGUAGUCCUGAGGAACGUCAGAUUUUGGUGAAUGAGAUGCUAGGAUCAACUGAUAAGAAUGAGCCUCUUCAGGUCAUGAUGAAAGAUCAGUUUGCUAACUACGUUGUACAGAAAGCACUCGAGACUUGUGAUGACGAGCAACGUGAGCUGAUCCUCUCACGAAUAAAAGUCCACUUGAAUGCUUUGAAGAAAUAUACUUACGGAAAGCAUAUAGUUGCCCGUAUAGAAAAACUUGUUGCAGCUGGGGAAAGGAGAAUUGGACUUCAGACCCAGCAUGCAUCAAAUGGCAGAAGAAUGAGAUUGUACAGCUAACGGAGUCUCUCGUGAGCUCACUUCUUUCUGUUUACGUGGGCUCGUACAAGCUGGUUAAAAAUGUUGCUUGUACUGAGAGUUGUACAUUUCUGUAGGUGAACUAUACAUGAUCAUACUAAGGCUAUGGCUCAGAUUGUUAGCAUAUCUGAUGCCCCACAUAGGAAUGGUUGGUUGCCUGUAAAAGGUUUUUAUGGGUGUAAAGAAAGAAGUCUUAACAUGACUGUACAAAUAUCAGAUGUGGAGAGCGGUCCAAUGUUCAGGGAAGGUUGUUUCAAUUUUCUUUUCUAUUGGAUCAUCAAAAUUCCUGAUAUACAAUUUUAAAUUGUAUUUAAACUCUAUAUAUCAUUUAUGCCAAUGUCUUGGACA